rnacentral:rRNA from 1 species
UCCCCAGACUCCUACGGGAGGCAGCAGUGAGGAAUAUUGGUCAAUGGCCGCAGGGCUGAACCAGCCAAGUCGCGUGAGGGAUGACGGUCCUAUGGAUUGUAAACCUCUUUUGUCAGGGAGCAAAGGGCGCCACGUGUGGCGUUUUGCGAGUACCUGAAGAAAAAGCAUCGGCUAACUCCGUGCCAGCAGCCGCGGUAAUACGGAGGAUGCGAGCGUUAUCCGGAUUUAUUGGGUUUAAAGGGUGCGCAGGGGGAAUGUAAAGCCAGCGGGAAAAUUGAGGGGCUCUACCCCUGCGAGCCGUUGAAACUGGUUUUCUUGAGUGAGCGAGAAGUAUGCGGAAUGCGUGGUGUAGCGGUGAAAUGCAUAGAUAUCACGCAGAACUCCGAUUGCGAAGGCAGCAUACCGGCGCUCAACUGACGCUCAUGCACGAAAGUGUGGGUAUCGAACAGGAUUAGAUACCCCCGUAC